ACGAACGCUGGCGGCAUGCCUAACACAUGCAAGUCGAACGAGACCUUCGGGUCUAGUGGCGCACGGGUGCGUAACGCGUGGGAACCUGCCCUUAGGUUCGGAAUAACUCCCCGAAAGGGGUGCUAAUACCGGAUAAUGUCUUCGGACCAAAGAUUUAUCGCCUUUGGAUGGGCCCGCGUUGGAUUAGCUAGUUGGUAGGGUAAAAGCCUACCAAGGCGACGAUCCAUAGCUGGUCUGAGAGGAUGAUCAGCCACACUGGGACUGAGACACGGCCCAGACUCCUACGGGAGGCAGCAGUGGGGAAUAUUGGACAAUGGGCGAAAGCCUGAUCCAGCAAUGCCGCGUGAGUGAUGAAGGCCUUAGGGUUGUAAAGCUCUUUUACCCGGGAUGAUAAUGACAGUACCGGGAGAAUAAGCUCCGGCUAACUCCAUG
rnacentral:rRNA from 1 species